AGUGAACGCUGGCGGUAGGCCUAACACAUGCAAGUCGAACGGCAGCACAGGAGAGCUUGCUCUCUGGGUGGCGAGUGGCGGACGGGUGAGGAAUACAUCGGAAUCUACUCUGUCGUGGGGGAUAACGUAGGGAAACUUACGCUAAUACCGCAUACGACCUACGGGUGAAAGCAGGGGACCUUCGGGCCUUGCGCGAUUGAAUGAGCCGAUGUCGGAUUAGCUAGUUGGCGGGGUAAAGGCCCACCAAGGCGACGAUCCGUAGCUGGUCUGAGAGGAUGACAAGCCAAACUGGAACUGAGACACGGUCCAGACUCCUACGGGAGGCAGCAGUGGGGAAUAUUGGACAAUGGGCGCAAGCCUGAUCCAGCCAUACCGCGUGGGUGAAGAAGGCCUUCGGGUUGUAAAGCCCUUUUGUUGGGAAAGAAAUCCAGCUGGCUAAUACCCGGUUGGGAUGACGGUACCCAAAGAAUAAGCACCGGCUAACUUCGUGCCAGCCGCCGCCGUAA
rnacentral:rRNA from 1 species